UACGUAUGUCGCGACUACGACCGAUGCGGCCGCAUGAAUUCCCUUUGUCGACUGCGCGCCACCUGCACACAACCAUCACCGGCAAGAAGGUUUCUCACGCUUUGGUGAAUCGAGUUCGAGGGAAUCUAGAAACUUGCAAGCAUUUUUUCUGGAGAAUAUAUAGUUUUAUAUACUUUAUCGGUGAUACUAUUGACAUAGUGAAGGUUUUUGUCACGGUUGCUACCGUUCCGAAGGCCGCACUCAUUCUACGAACGAAAUCUGGAGCGCAAACACUGAGGUUGUCCAUGUCAAGCUAACCGACUGGACAUUCAAGGAUCUCGUUCGUCACCUGCAACUUCCAUAUAUGUUCACUUUGACGAUGCAUGGGGCGAUGCAGCAUUGCACGUAAUUCUAUAAUGAUUAACUUUUGUUUGUGGGUUGAUAUUGACUGAGUCAUCUCUGUUGGUUGAACUUGCAUAUUAUGGUUCCUUUUGUGUGUUUGUUUCUAUGCUUUGCUCUUGGAUUGUAUAUGUUUGGUUGUAUUGCGAAAUAAUUAUGUUCCUAGACAAUGCGCACUUGGUGCAACUGAUGAUGGUGAUAUAGACUUUCUAUAAUACUUUUAUAUUUUGUAGUA